UAUGAGUCAUUAUGUCAAAACAAUAUUUUGCCGAAAAUCAGACGAGCGAAGUAUCGCAAGCGUAGUUGACGUGGAUUUACUCAGUUUCCAAAACUUGUGCGAUCUGACUCAAAUACAAUGGCACGUGAAAUCAACCUCGGGAUUGCCCAACUGACGAUUGUCGUGGGAUCCGUACCUGUCAUUCUGUACCUUCCUGAAAGUCUUCUGAGCCGCAUAUAUCAGUUGACUGGCAACGACAUGACCGGUGUGGACCAAACUAACGAUAAAGCCGAAGCGGACGAUGAUAUAGAACCAACCGUCGACCAACAGUAAAACAACCGCAACAUUUUGACAAGGAUUAUUAAUAACAUCAGCUGGAGAUUUCCUAGCACCUGGCUCGGCGAGUCAAAAUGGCCCCGGGUUGGAAGGGUUUUCGGACCGAUUAUAAACAUCGGGUAAUCUGAAGACCCUUCAGCAUAAUUGGUAAAUCUUUGGCUUAAGAUCGAACAAGUAUUGUAAAUUGAGUAAAUCCACAACGAAAUGGUACUUUAUGCUCGUCUCCACCGUACAACAUCUAACGGUUAAGUACCAUUUCGAAAACAACCCGCAACUCGUCUGUGAUAAAAAGAAAAUCAAACUA